GAUUAACCUGGCUGCGGCAUUCCCAUACAGCGGGUGUCCCUGCGUGCCGCCUGCCCGGGACGGGCAGCCGGGGAGGGGAGGCAGCCGCAGCCCCGCCGCUCGGAGGAGCCGAGCCCGGACGUCUCGUCGCCUGCCCGGCGGCCGAAAGGAUGACAGAAAGGACCGUUUCGUGGGGACGGUGCGUAGGGCUCCGGCCUGUGUCUCUCCAGGGAAGAGACUUUCCAGAGAAAUAAAUCAAGAAAAAAUAACUGGUUUAAUUUCCCUCCACCUAGCAUCGUUUUUUCCCGGCUGUGCAUAGGAACCUUGGAGCAGCAUGAAAAGCUAUGUGGGACAGAGGCUCCUCCGGGUGCUGGUGCUCCCACUGACAGUGUGCUGUACUUUCCUCUGGCUGCUGUCAAGGUGUUGUAGAGAUUCCCAGUGUGUGGAAGUGCAAGGGGGACUUGUGAGCCUACUCACCCUGCAGGGAAACAGAGAACGAAAAUUUGUUGUAGUAU